AUGAGGAGAAACCAGUCAAGAUUCUUGAGUUUGCCAGCCGAGUCACUCGCAGCAAGCUUAUCAAGUUUUGCAAAGUUCAGUGGAGCCACCACACGGAGGAUGAAGCCACCUGGGAGCGAGAGGAAGAUUUGCUCAAGGACCACCCUCACCUAUUUUCUAGCCAACCCGAAUCUCGAGGGCGAGAUUCAUCUUAAGGGGGGUAGGUUUGUAACAUCCCAAAUUUUCAAUUUGGAAUGUUAUACAUUAGGUCAUCAUGCAUAUCAUAUUUAUUUUGCUUUUGGUUUUGAUCCUAGAAAAUCCUAA
rnacentral:rRNA from 1 species